GUCGGGGUAGCCAAGUAGGCCCACGGCGCUGGUUUGCUAAACCAGUGGGCGUUCCGCCCUCGCGGGUUCGAAUCCCGUCCCCGGCG
rnacentral:tRNA from 1 species